AACGAACGCUGGCGGCAGGCCUAACACAUGCAAGUCGAGCGAAGCCUUCGGGCUUAGCGGCGGACGGGUGAGUAACGCGUGGGAACGUGCCCUGUGGUACGGAAUAGCCCCGGGAAACUGGGAGUAAUACCGUAUGUGGUCGAGAGACGAAAGAUUUAUCGCCAAAGGAUCGGCCCGGGCUGGAUUGGGUAGGUGGUGGGGUAAUGGCCUACCAAGCCGACGAUCCAUAGCUGGUUUGAGAGGAUGAUCGGCCACACUGGGACUGGGACACGGCCCAGACUCCUACGGGAGGCAGCAGUGGGGAAUAUUAGACAAUGGGGGAAACCCUGAUCUAGCCAUGCCGCGUGAUCGAUGAAGGCCUUAGGGUUGUAAAGAUCUUUCAGUGGGGAAGAUAAUGACUGUACCCACAGAAGAAGCCCCGGCUAACUACGUGCCAGCAGCCGCAGUAAAAC
rnacentral:rRNA from 1 species